GACGAACGCUGGCGGCGUGCUUAACACAUGCAAGUCGAACGGAAAGGCCCCUUUGGGGGUACUCGAGUGGCGAACGGGUGAGUAACACGUGAGUAACCUGCCCUUGACUUCGGGAUAACUUCAGGAAACUGGGGCUAAUACCGGAUAGGAAUCCUUGCUGCAUGGUGGGGGUUGGAAAGCUUCGGCGGUUUUGGAUGGACUCGCGGCUUAUCAGCUUGUUGGGGGGGUAGUGGCUUACCAAGGCCUGUACGGGUAGCCGGCCUGAGCGGGCGACCGGCCACAUUGAGACUGAGAUACGGCCCAGACUCCUACGGGAGGCAGCAGUGGGGAAUCUUGCACAAUGGGCGGCAGCCUGAUGCAGCAGCGCCGCGUGCGGUAUGACGGCCUUCGGGUUGUCAAACGCUUUCAGCAGGGGCGAAGCUUGUGGUGACGGUACCUGAAGAAGAAGCACCGGCUAACUACGUG
rnacentral:rRNA from 1 species